AGCUCCAAUAGCGUAUAUUAAAGUUGUUGUGGUUAAAAAGCUCGUAGUUGGAUCUCAGUUCGCGCUAGGCGGUGUGGCCCUGUGUCACUACUGUCGCAGCCGGACACUUGCCAUCGUCGUGCUGCGGUGUCCUUUACCGGAUGUCGUAGUCGGUUGGCUGUUUACUUUGAAAAAAUUAGAGUGCUCAAAGCAGGCUAACGCCUGAAUAAUGUUGCAUGGAAUAAUGAAAUAGGACUUUGGUUCUAUUUUGUUGGUCUUCGGAGCCGAGGUAAUGAUUAAGAGGGACAGACGGGGGCAUUAGUAUUGCGACGCUAGAGGUGAAAUUCUUGGACCGUCGCAAGACUAACUAAAGCGAAAGCAUUUGCCAAGAAUGUUUUCA
rnacentral:rRNA from 1 species